UACAGAGGUCCCGAGCGUUGUUCGGAUUCAUUGGGCGUAAAGGGUGCGUAGGCGGUCUGCUAAGUUUGAUGUGAAAUCCCGGGGCUCAACCCUGGAAUUGCAUUGAAUACUGGUGGACUGAGUACUGGAGAGGAACUGGAAUUACGGUGUAGCAGUGAAAUGCGUAGAGAUCGUAAGGAAGACCGUGGCGAAGCGAGUUCUGGACAGUAACUACGU
rnacentral:rRNA from 1 species